CUAUAUCUGACCACACAUUACCUGGCUCCAAAACUAAUCUUCCACAUGAGUCCCCUCAUAAGUCGUCUGACCCUAACAACAUAACCACCUUUAGUCACAAGCCCACUUGUCUUUAGGAGUAAUUUCGACCUAAAAAUACACACCACAAGCUCGAAGUCCACUUCAUGUAAAAAUAACUUGUUAUGUUUAGAGCUUAAAGUAUGUCAAACUAUAAACCUCUCUUUAAACUUUUAAUCGUGUCACCGUUGAAAACAAAGUGAUCAUAUAUAUAUAUAUAUAUCUCCACGGUCAAAUGAAAUAAAAGAUCUCCUUCUUCUACAGAAUUAUUAUCUCCUCCCGUUGCGUUGGGUGAUGAUCUUCUGAAUGGCGCUAGAAAAUCUCCCCGCUCCUUUGGUUGACUUCCUCUAAAUCAUAUCGCCUCUCUAUAUUCAAUAUUUCUCAAAUAAAUGGCGAGAUCGAUCGAACACAUACAAAAGUGCAGAAGCGUAUAGGCAAAGGGUAAAGUAAUCGAUUCUUUGAGAGACGAUCCGAUCCCUCUUCAGGUCCGAAGCUUUUUUCUAGAAAGUUUUGUUUUUAAAAGUUUUGAUCCCUGCUAAUGUUUUUUUCUUAUAGGAUCCGUGCAGUUUGAUACCAUUCUUGAAGGAAUGUACAUCAUCAGCCUAAAACUCAUUGUGGGAUCAGGAGAAAGACUCGUGGUUCAAAUGGUUGCUUCUACUUGUCAAGUCUCAACCAAACAACAUUGCUGUCUCUCCUUCAGGUACUAUCUGGACUGGUCACUAUGUUAGUUUGGGUUGACAUGAUUUACAGAUUGAUUGUUUAGUUGCUUCUAUCCAUUAUGGUUUUGCCACAUUAUUAUCGGAGUAUUGUACAAAAUCAUUAAACGUUGUUAAAUUGCUUUCAGAUUGCUAGUUUGAAACUUGUGCUCUGGCUAGAAAGGAGAACGAGUCGGAUCAACCUUCUAAGAAGAAAGUCACUUGGCGUCUCUUCCAAAAUAAGCUAACAUUUAAAAGAAAACAAUCACUUUCAUAAUUUGUACUUUUUUGCC
rnacentral:lncRNA from 1 species